GGGGGUAUACCUCUGUGGUAGAGCAUUUGACUGCAGUUCAAGAGGUACUCAGUUCAAAUAUCAGUGCCCCCU
rnacentral:tRNA from 1 species